GACGAACGCUGGCGGCGUGCUUAACACAUGCAAGUCGAACGGAAAGGCCCUGCUUUUGCGGGGUGCUCGAGUGGCGAACGGGUGUGUAACACGUGAGUAUCCUGCCCUUGACUUUGGGAUAACUUCAGGAAACUGGGGCUAAUACCGGAUAGGAGCUCUUGCUGCAUGGUGGGGGUUGGAAAGUUUCGGCCGUUCGGGAUAGACUCGCGGCUUAUCAGCUUGUUAGUGGGGUAGUGGCUUACCAAGGCUUUGUCGGGUAGCCCGCCUGAGAGGGUGAACGGGUACAAUGGGUCAAAGGUAAGGGCCAGACUGCUACGAGAAGCAGCAGAGGAGAAUAUUGCACAAUGAAGGGAAGCCGGAUGUAGCAAUGCCGCGUGCGGGAUGACGUCCUUCUGGUUUUAAACCGCUUUCGCCUGAGACUAAGUGUGAGUGACGUUAAUGGGUAAAGAAGCACCGGCUAACUACGUG
rnacentral:rRNA from 1 species